rnacentral:lncRNA from 1 species
CUCCAGGAGGGUUUCGUGCAAGGACCACCCUAGAGAAGCUUCUGCCCUCUGUUUUGAGAGAAAGGAGAGACAUCCUCCCCAUCACUACUCCCAAACCUCCUGAAAGUAGGAGCCUUCUUGAACCUGUGCUAACCUGGAGGAGACAAAGAACUCUGGGAUCUCUUCCAGCCCCAGUGUACCAACCGAGCCUUCUGAUCCUGGUGGUU